GACAAUAGCAUAUUGGAUAACUCAAGGGUGGUUAGCACACUCCCGAAAGGGGGUGAUGCUUUAUGACAGUUGCAGAAUCAUUGAUGCUUAUGGUAAGUUUUGGAGCGUUAAUUGUUGCAAUUAUGUCAGAUAAAAAUAACAAAAAAUAAAAUCCACCCUUGAGUUUGCGGCUCGUUUCGGCGGUGGAUUUUAUCUGCUAACAUUCGUGCUGAUCCCCCUUGCAGGGAACCUAGCUAUUGUAUAGGCUGGAGGUGUUACAGCACCUUCA
rnacentral:sRNA from 1 species